AUUGAACGCUGGCGGCAGGCCUAACACAUGCAAGUCGAGCGGAUGAAGGGAGCUUGCUCCUGGAUUCAGCGGCGGACGGGUGAGUAAUGCCUAGGAAUCUGCCUGGUAGUGGGGGAUAACGUCCGGAAACGGGCGCUAAUACCACAUACGUCCUGAGGGAGAAAGUGGGGGAUCUUCGGACCUCACGCUAUCAGAUGAGCCUAGGUCGGAUUAGCUAGUUGGUGGGGUAAAGGCCUACCAAGGCGACGAUCCGUAACUGGUCUGAGAGGAUGAUCAGUCACACUGGAACUGAGACACGGUCCAGACUCCUACGGGAGGCAGCAGUGGGGAAUAUUGGACAAUGGGCGAAAGCCUGAUCCAGCCAUGCCGCGUGUGUGAAGAAGGUCUUCGGAUUGUAAAGCACUUUAAGUUGGGAGGAAGGGCAGUAAGUUAAUACCUUGCGGUUUUGACGUUACCAACAGAAUAAGCACCGGCUAACUUCGUG
rnacentral:rRNA from 1 species